AAAAUUGAACGUGCAACCAGCCAGUCGAGCAGUCUAAAUCUCUCAGCAUGGUGCUGGUUAGUUUUGUGUGUGUGUGUGUGUGUGUGUGAUGUUAACAUACAUGAAGUUAUAAAUGUUUAAAAGUAUUUUAACGUGUUUGAUGACAAUCAUCAGACUAAGUAUUUUGUCUAAUAACUUAAUUGUACAGUGGAGUAAGGUAAGUAAAUGUUUAUCAAUUACACAUUAGAAAAGGAGGAGGCUGGAACUUGGAAGUGAAAAACGCUGUAUAUCCAGGUAUGCAUAAUUAUUAGGCAGAUCUUCUUUUACAAAUAAAACAAGCCAAAAAAAGAUUAUAUAUCACUUAUAAAAGAUUAAAUGCAAAAUUAAUAGUUAAGAUUGGUGUGGUUUGGAAUUGGUAAAUUUUACCAAAAAAUAUGAUCAGAAAAUCCUUCUUUUAAUUCUGCACAGUGCAUAUGCAAAAGGUAAGGUAAAGGUAAGAUUUGGUAGGUGUACAUUAAGUCUAAUCAAUGAAUAAAGUAGGUAAAACCAACAUAAUGAAUGAUUCUGAAAUAAGACAACUGUAAAAUCUUUGAAAUGUAUUUUAGGUUUGCCAUGUUCUGUACAGGGCUGAGGACCUGUAAGCUGCUCAUCUGGGUUCCAUCACAGCAAGUUACAUGUGCCACACAAUGAGCAAUUCUGUGCAAAGACUGUAGCUAGACUACAAACGUUUUAUUUUAAGUGUAUGCUUCGUCGUGUCAGAUGAGUUUCAGGCAGGCUACCUGCUGCUUUCCACAAGAUACUUGCAGCUUUGUAAAUAAGCAGGAAUGAGAAUAAUUAGGUUAAGGAUAGGAUAUUAGGUAAUUGGGAUGGGAUGUAGAGGAUGUGGGUGAAGACUAACUAUAUGAAAUAAGUUGUUUUAAAUCAGUUGUGUUAAACAAGAGACAGAUUGUGAUUUGUUUUUUAGAACAUGGAUAAUUUAAUAUAAGUUGUAUAAAAUCAUUUGUGAUUUGUUGAUCAGUGUUUGUUGUUUUCAGGAAGCAAGAGACACCUCCUACUGACCAUCCUAUAAAAUUUCAACAUUUAAUUUCCAUAUGUAAUAAACCAAGAUGGAAUUAACUUGCAAACCUGACAUGACUUAUUCCUUCAAAUUAAAGAUUAAAGAUAAAAAAAAGAUCAAAUUAAGAUAAAUAAAUAAAAACUAUUUACAGCAGGUAAUGUCAGGUGACACUGUAAAGGUUCAUAAAAAUAACCUAUUACAGCAGGUAACUUCUGGUGACAUUGUAAAGGUUCAUAAAAAUAUCUAUUACAGCAGGUAACUUCUGGUGACUUUCAGCAAGAUCAGGGGCAUGUGGAUCUGAUCACCCUCACAGUUGUCCACUGCAUCACUGGCGGUCAUCGAUACAUCUAAUCUGACAACCUUUUUAUCCCCCGGCGUGACUUCUUUAACGGAACAUCGUAGUCGAGCCAUUUCUCGGGGUAAGGGUGUUCGUCAGUCGCCUUCCCGUCCAUGAAAUGGUACAAAUACACAUAAGAGCGCGUGGGUG